rnacentral:misc_RNA from 1 species
GAUGAAGAACGUAGUGAAAUGCGAUAAGUAAUGUGAAUUGCAGAAUUCAGUGAAUCAUCGAAUCUUUGAACGCACAUUGCGCCCUCUGGUAUUCCGGGGGGCAUGCCUGUUCGAGCGUCAUACAACCCUCAAGCUUUGCUUGGUAUUGGACAUUGCCAGUUUCUGGCAGGUCUUAAAAUCAGUGGCGGUGCCAUUUGGCUUCAAGCGUAGUAAUUCUUCUCGCUUUGGAGAUCCAGGUGGUUACUUGCCAAUAACCCCCAAUUUUUUCAGGUUGACCUCGGAUCAGGUAGGGAUACCCGCUGAACUUAAGCAUAUCAAUAAGCGGAGGA